UAGUGGCGAACGGGUGAGUAACACGUGGGCAAUCUGCCCUUCACUCUGGGACAAGCCCUGGAAACGGGGUCUAAUACCGGAUAACACUCUGUCCCGCAUGGGACGGGGUUGAAAGCUCCGGCGGUGAAGGAUGAGCCCGCGGCCUAUCAGCUUGUUGGUGGGGUGAUGGCCUACCAAGGCGACGACGGGUAGCCGGCCUGAGAGGGCGACCGGCCACACUGGGACUGAGACACGGCCCAGACUCCUACGGGAGGCAGCAGUGGGGAAUAUUGCACAAUGGGCGAAAGCCUGAUGCAGCGACGCCGCGUGAGGGAUGACGGCCUUCGGGUUGUAAACCUCUUUCAGCAGGGAAGAAGCGAGAGUGACGGUACCUGCAGAAGAAGCGCCGGCUAACUACGUGCCAGCAGCCGCGGUAAUACGUAGGGCGCAAGCGUUGUCCGGAAUUAUUGGGCGUAAAGAGCUCGUAGGCGGCUUGUUGCGUCGGUUGUGAAAGCCCGGGGCUUAACCCCGGGUCUGCAGUCGAUACGGGCAGGCUAGAGUGUGGUAGGGGAGAUC
rnacentral:rRNA from 1 species